UAGCAAGAAAAUUUUUUGAAUUAGAUUUCUCGAAACCUGAGGAGCUACCUUAAUUUUGGUUUAGCCUUAGAUAAAGGUGGGUGUGGCAUAACCCUAUUUAAAAUUUAAGGUAGAAAUUAAAUGUUAUUCGUUUUAGGUGAUAGCUAGUUAUAACAUAAAGAUAUAUAAGUAUCGGAUAUAAUUUUAUUAUAUGUUUAUAUUAUAUACAUAUAAUGACUUGUUUUCUUAAUUAUGCGAGGGUAAGCUCGUAUAAAUUUAAUUUAACUAAAAUUAUAUAUGAAUCUAGGCUUGAAAUUAGCCAUGAUUUGGAAUUUGUUAAAAAUGCAUAUGUAUACAAAAACUUUGUAAUAUAUUAAAUUUAUGUUAUUCAAUUAUGUAAUUAAGGCAUAAUUGAUUUAUGCUAAAAUGAGUAUUGUUAUAGCUAAAACAAAAAAUAAAUUAAAUUUUUUUAAAAAUUUUUUAUAAAUACUAUAAAAUAUAUCAUAGGAACUCGGCAAAAAUUUAGCUCCGCCUGUUUAGCAAAAACAUGUCUCUUUG
rnacentral:rRNA from 1 species